CCUACGGGCGGCAGCAGUAGGGAAUCUUCCACAAUGGACGAAAGUCUGAUGGAGCAACGCCGCGUGAGUGAAGGAGGGUUUCGGCUCGUAAAGCCCUGUUGGUAGUGAAGAAAGUUAGAGGUAGUAACUGGCCUUUAUUUGACGGUAAUUACUUAGAAAGUAACGGCUAACUACGUGCCAGCAGCCGCGGUAAUACGUAGGUGGCAAGCGGUGUCCGGAUUUAUUGGGCGUAAAGGGAGUGCAGGCGGUUCAAUAAGUCUGAUGUGAAAGCCUUCGGCUCAACCGGAGAAUUGCAUGAGGAACUGUUGAACUUGAGUGCAGAAGAGGAGAGUGGAACUCCAUGUGUAGCGGUGGAAUGCGUAGAUAUAUGGAAGAACACCAGUGGCGAAGGCGGCUCUCUGGUCUGCAACUGACGCUGAGGCUCGAAAGCAUGGGUAGCGAACAGGAUUAGAUACCCCUGUAGUC
rnacentral:rRNA from 1 species